GAGCAGUGGUUUGUAGUUCUCCUUGAAGAGGUCCUUCACAUCCCUUGUAAGUUGGAUUCCUAGGUAUUUUAUUCUCUUUGAAGCAAUUGUGAAUGGGAGUUCCCUCAUGAUUUGGCUCUCUGUUUGUCUGUUAUUGGUGUAUAAGAAUGCUUGUGAUUUUUGCACAUUGAUUUUGUAUCCUGAGACUUUGCUGAAGUUGCCUAUCAGUUUAAGGACAUUUUGGGCUGAGACAGUGGGGUUUUCUAGAUAUACAAUCGUGUCAUCUGCAAACAGGGACAAUUUGACUUCCUCUUUUCCUAAUUGAAUACCUUUUUUUCCUUCUCCUGCCUAAUUGCCCUGGCCAGAAAUUCCAACACUAUGUUGAAUAGGAGUAGUGAGAGAGGGCAUCCCUGUCUUGUGCCAGUUUUCAAAGGGAAUGCUUCCAGUUUUUGUCCAUUCAGUAUGAUAUUGGCUGUGGGUUUGUCAUAGAUGGCUCUUAUUAUUUUGAGAUACGUCCCAUCAAUACCUAAUUUAUUGAGAGUUUUUAGCAUGAAGGGUUGUUGAAUUUUGUCAAAGGCCUUUUCUGCAUCUAUUGAGAUAAUCAUGUGGUUUUUGUCUUUGGUUCUGUUUAUAUGCUGGAUUACAUUUAUUGAUUUGCAUAUGUUGAACCAGCCUUGCAUCCCAGGGAUGAAGCCCACUUGAUCAUGGUGGAUAAGCUUUUGGAUGUGCUGCUGGAUUUGCUUUGCCAGUAUUUUAUUGAGGUUUUUUGCAUCGAUGUCCAUCAGGGAUAUUGGUCUAAAAUUCUCUUUUUUUGUUGUGUCUCUGCCCGGCUUUGGUAUCAGGAU
rnacentral:lncRNA from 10 species